rnacentral:rRNA from 1 species
UGCCAGCCGCCGCGGUAACACGAACCGUCCAAACGUUGUUCGGAAUUACUGGGCGUAAAGCGCACGUAGGCGGACUGUUAAGUCAGAUGUGAAAUCCCUCGGCUCAACCGAGGAACUGCACCUGAUACUGACGGACUCGAGGACGGUAGGGGUGAGUGGAACUCCAGGUGGAGCGGUGAAAUGCGUAGAUAUCUGGAGGAACACCGGUGGCGAAGGCGACUCACUGGACCGUAUCUGACGCUGAGGUGCGAAAGCUAGGGUAGCAAACGGGAUUAGAUA